UCCGGUUUGUCACCGGCAGUCUCGCAUGAGUCCCCAACUGAAUGCUGGCAACAUGCGACGGGGGUUGCGCUCGUUGCGGGACUUAACCCAACAUCUCACGACACGAGUUGACGACGGCCAUGCACCACCUGUGAUCCUGCCCCUAAGGGAAACCGUGUUUCCACGGCGGUCAGGAACAUGUCAAACCCAGGUAAGGUUCUUCGCGUUUCGUCGAAUUAAACCACAUGCUCCGCUGCUUGUGCGGGUCCCCGUCAAUUCCUUUGAGUUUUAGCCUUGCGGCCGUACUCCCCAGGCGGGGCACUUAAUGCGUUAGCUGCGGCACGGACAACGUGGAAGGAAACCCACACCUAGCGCCCACCGUUUACGGCGUGGACUAC
rnacentral:misc_RNA from 1 species